rnacentral:rRNA from 1 species
CUCAGUUCGGAUUGGAGGCUGAAACCCGCCUCCAUGAAGUUGGAUUCGCUAGUAAUCGCGCAUCAGCCAUGGCGCGGUGAAUACGUUCCCGGGCCUUGUACACACCGCCCGUCAAGCCAUGGAAGCCGGGAGUGCCUGAAGUGCGUGAGCGCAAGCAGCGCCCUAAGGUAAAACCGGUGACUGGGGCUAAGUCGUAACAAGGUAUC